rnacentral:misc_RNA from 1 species
GAUGAAGAACGUAGCAAAAUGCGAUAAGUAAUGUGAAUUGCAGAAUUCAGUGAAUCAUCGAAUCUUUGAACGCACAUUGCGCCCGCCAGUAUUCUGGCGGGCAUGCCUGUUCGAGCGUCAUUUCAACCCUCAAGCACAGCUUGGUGUUGGGACUCGCGUUAAUUCGCGUUCCUCAAAUUGAUUGGCGGUCGCGUCGAGCUUCCAUAGCGUAGUAGUAAAACCCUCGUUACUGGUAAUCGUCGCGGCCACGCCGUUAAACCCCAACUUCUGAAUGUUGACCUCGGAUCAGGUAGGAAUACCCGCUGGACUUAAGCAUAUCAAUAGGCGGAGGA